GAACGACUCUCGGCAACGGAUAUCUCGGCUCUCGCAUCGAUGAAGAACGCAGCGAAAUGCGAUACUUGGUGUGAAUUGCAGAAUCCCGUGAACCAUCGAGUCUUUGAACGCAAGUUGCGCCCGAAGCCAUUAGGCUGAGGGCACGUCUGCCUGGGCGUCACGCA
rnacentral:rRNA from 1 species